rnacentral:rRNA from 1 species
AGAAUCAACGCUGGCGGCGUGCCUAACACAUGCAAGUCGAACGAGAAAGUGGAGCAAUCCAUGAGUACAGUGGCGACCGGGUGAGUAACACGUGACCAAUCUACCUUCGAGUGGGGGAUAACUCCGGGAAACCGGGGCUAAUACCGCAUAACAUCUUUGGAAUGCAAAUUCCGUUGAUCAAAGGAGCAAUUCGCUUGAAGAGGAGGUCGCGGCUGAUUAGUUAGUUGGCGGGGUAAUGGCCCACCAAGACGAAGAUCGGUAUCCGGCCUGAGAGGGCGCACGGACACACUGGAACUGAAACACGGUCCAGACUCCUACGGGAGGCAGCAGUGGGGAAUUUUGCGCAAUGGGGGAAACCCUGACGCAGCAACGCCGCGUGGAGGAUGAAGUCCCUUGGGACGUAAACUCCUUUCGACCAAGACGAUAAUGACGGUACUGGUGGAAGAAGCACCGGCUAACUCUGCGCCAGCAGCCGCGGUAA